rnacentral:rRNA from 1 species
AGAGUUUGAUCCUGGCUCAAGAUGAACGCUGGCGGCGUGCUUAACACAUGCAAGUCGAACGGACCUUCGGGUUAGUGGCGGACGGGUGAGUAACGCGUGAGAAUCUGCCCUCAGGAGGGGGAUAACGGUUGGAAACGACCGCUAAUACCCCAUAUGCCGAUAGGUGAAACGAAUUUCGCCUGAGGAUGAGCCCGCGUCUGAUUAGCUAGUUGGUAAGGUAAAGGCUUACCAAGGCUUCGAUCAGUAGCUGGUCUGAGAGGAUGAUCAGCCACACUGGGACUGAGACACGGCCCAGACUCCUACGGGAGGCAGCAGUGGGGAAUUUUCCGCAAUGGGCGAAAGCCUGACGGAGCAACGCCGCGUGAGGGACGAAGGCCUCUGGGCUGUAAACCUCUUUUCUCAAGGAAGAAGAUAUGACGGUACUUGAGGAAUAAGCCACGGCUAAUUCCGUGCCAGCAGCCGCGGUAAUACGGGAGUGGCAAGCGUUAUCCGGAAUUAUUGGGCGUAAAGCGUCCGCAGGCGGCCUUUCAAGUCUGCUGUUAAAGCGUGGAGCUUAACUCCAUUAUGGCAGUGGAAACUGAUAGGCUUGAGUAUGGUAGGGGCAGAGGGAAUUCCCGGUGUAGCGGUGAAAUGCGUAGAUAUCGGGAAGAACACCAGUGGCGAAGGCGCUCUGCUGGGCCAUUACUGACGCUCAUGGACGAAAGCCAGGGGAGCGAAAGGGAUUAGAUACCCCUGUAGUCCUGGCCGUAAACGAUGAACACUAGGUGUCGGGGGAAUCGACCCCUUCGGUGUCGUAGCUAACGCGUUAAGUGUUCCGCCUGGGGAGUACGCACGCAAGUGUGAAACUCAAAGGAAUUGACGGGGGCCCGCACAAGCGGUGGAGUAUGUGGUUUAAUUCGAUGCAACGCGAAGAACCUUACCAGGGUUUGACAUCCUGCGAACCUCUUAGAAAUUUGAGGGUGCCUUCGGGAAUGCAGUGACAGGUGGUGCAUGGCUGUCGUCAGCUCGUGUCGUGAGAUGUUGGGUUAAGUCCCGCAACGAGCGCAACCCACGUUUUUAGUUGCCAGCAUUUAGUUGGGCACUCUAGAAAGACCGCCGGUGAUAAACCGGAGGAAGGUGUGGAUGACGUCAAGUCAUCAUGCCCCUUACACCCUGGGCUACACACGUACUACAAUGCUACGGACAAAGGGCAGCAAACUCGCGAGAGCUAGCAAAUCCCAUAAACCGUGGCUCAGUUCAGAUCGUAGGCUGCAACUCGCCUACGUGAAGUAGGAAUCGCUAGUAAUCGCAGGUCAGCAUACUGCGGUGAAUACGUUCCCGGGCCUUGUACACACCGCCCGUCACACCAUGGAAGUUGGCCAUGCCCGAAGUCGUUACUCCAACCCUUGUGGAGGAGGACGCCGAAGGUGGGGCUAAUGACUGGGGUGAAGUCGUAACAAGGUAGCCGUACCGGAAGGUGCGGCUG